rnacentral:lncRNA from 1 species
CGGGGGUUUCAACUUAGGAGUCUGAAACUUGUUCCUCAAGUAUAAAAGGUGUCCCAAAAAUCCCAAGGAAUCUUUCUCUCUCUCUCUCUAUAUUUUUAUAAGUGCACAAAGUGAAAGCGAUGAAGAAAACCCAAAUUAUCUGUUCGAUUUUCUUGGUUUUCUCCUUUGUUGCAGCUACUAUAUCAAUGGCGGAUUCACAAGCAUCCACAGAAGCAAAAGUGUAUAUAGUUCAUACUGAGAAUCCUGAGGAUGAGGAACCUGAGGAAUUCCAUAUCAAAAUUUUAGCUUCCGUUCUUGGCAGGUUUAACUUAUUUUUUCUCUCCUUUAUUUUAUCAUUUUUCCUUAAUAAAAUAAUUGUAUGAUCUGAACAUCUGGG